rnacentral:rRNA from 1 species
GAUGAACGCUGGCGGCGUGCUUAACACAUGCAAGUCGAACGGAAAGGCCAGUGCUUGCACUGGUACUCGAGUGGCGAACGGGUGAGUAACACGUGGGUGAUCUGCCCUGCACUUCGGGAUAAGCCUGGGAAACUGGGUCUAAUACCGGAUAGGACAAUGGUUUGGAUGCCGUUGUGGAAAGUUUUUUCGGUGUGGGAUGAGCUCGCGGCCUAUCAGCUUGUUGGUGGGUAAUGGCCUACCAAGGCGUCGACGGGUAGCCGGCCUGAGAGGGUGUACGGCCACAUUGGGACUGAGAUACGGCCCAGACUCCUACGGGAGGCAGCAGUGGGGAAUAUUGCACAAUGGGCGCAAGCCUGAUGCAGCGACGCCGCGUGGGGGAUGACGGCCUUCGGGUUGUAAACUCCUUUCGCUAGGGACGAAGCGUAUUUGUGACGGUACCUGGAGAAGAAGCACCGGCUAACUACGUG